rnacentral:lncRNA from 1 species
UCCUUAGCCUGGGGUGGUAGGUGGAAUGAUAGAGAACAGAGUUAACAUUUUUGACGAAUUCUCUCUUUUAAGCAAACAAAUGAGACUAUGUUGCUUGAUUAAACUAAUAAUCUGUUUCAGGAUGUUCCAUGGUCAUUACUGGCUGCAUCCUGUGACCAUCUGGAGAUCAGAAUGACCAGCCAAGCCCUGUGUCUUCACACACACACACACAAACACACACAAACAACUUUACAAAAUUCAUUGGCAUGUUCCUCAAAGUUUGCUGUGUUCUUUGAACUCUCCUGACCUUGAGAAAAUGCUUUGCCCACAGAAAACUUUUCAGUCAAUGGAGCUUGGACUCUUCUUAAAGGUCACAUGGUCUCUUAUGUUAAAAAUGCUAUUUUGUGCAUUUCUAUUUACUUUGUUGGAUCCAGAUUCUACUUUUCUCUCAUAAGGUAAGCAAAGAAUAAAGGGAGUUCAAUGAAGAAAAUGAGUUUUAGGGACCAAAAUAUCUGGUCCAGCUCUGAAUUCAAAGUUAGAGGCCUGGUUGCUAAGAUACUUCAUUAUUAAAUCAGUUAUGCAAUGUUCAUUUCAUAAAUAUUUAUUGAGAACUGAUUAUGUUCUCAGAUCCACAGUAGAUGUUAAGGAUGACAAAGCCCUCCAAGGAACUCACCAUCAGACUAUCUGAUGGAGACAUUUUGUUAAUAAUUUAGAAAUUUAAAACCCUAAAAACACACAGAUAACUCAACUUUUAAAAAUCUCAUGUUUGAAAGAGAGAUAGAAAUAUAGCUUUUUUCUUUAACUACUAGUUUUAAAUAGUCAAAUCCAAGUAAAAACAGGCUAUUUUCUGAUGAAUUUACAUAUCUUGUGAAUCUGGAUAAUCUGAACUCAUCUGGGUCGGCUGUCUUCCCACUAUCCAACCCAUGUCUGCUAAUUCAUUAGCACUUUUCUGUUAACCUGCUUCUACAGUGGGUUUAAAAUAAUUUUCUACAUUUCCUUUGUAAUAUAAUAAUGGUAAGAGUGAGUAAAUAUGGAAAAUUGUUGAAAAGGUAAGCCUAUCUAUGUGGGAAUAAAUUUCCCUGAGACCACAUUUAAAUAUUGUCAAAGAAACGCUCAGUGAGAAUGUGGAUCUCCAGCGUAAGGAAGGAAAAUCAUCCUAUUUCAUUUCAUUGUUAAAAAGUGUCCUAUCUUGGAGUUCACAUUGUGGAUCAGCGGUUAGCAAACCUGACUCGCAUCCAUGAGGACUCAGGUUCAAUCCCUGGCCUCGCUCAGUGGGUUAAGGAUGUGGCAUUGCUGUGAGCUUGUGGUGAAGGUUGCAGAUGAUGCUUGGAUCCAGUGUUGCUAUGGCUCUGGGGUAGCUCUGAUUGGACCCCUAGCCUGGGAACCUACAUAUGCUGUGGGUAUGGCCCUAAAAGCCAAAAAGCCAAAAAAUAAAAUAAAAUAGAAGUGUCCAAUCUUUAGGAUUUUUAGGGAUGACUUUGUUCUUUGAAAUCAGAUUGUUUAAUGAUAACUUCACCUGGCUCUCUGGAAAAUUAUCAUUUCUUAUUAGCUAAAAUGUUUGCAAGAUAUGUUCUUCAUUAUACUAAGUUGAGAUGUGACAUCUGAAACAUAUUUUCUGUGCUUAGUAAACUAGGUACAAAUGAGUAACAUUUUUGUGCCAGGUUUGUCUGUGCAUCUUAUCCAUUUCUGAUUGUAAUGGUUAGUGGAAUCUCAAAUAGACUCGAAUUCUGAAAGUUUUUAGUCACUUGGACUCCUUUACCAGUCUUUGUGCUAAUUAAUUCAUCCAGUUAUUCAGCAAAAAAUUAUUCUCUAUCAUGUGCCAAGUGAUGAAAGGACAUAGCAGUGGCAAUAAGAUAAUGAACAAAUAGAAAAGGCCCUUGCCUACAUAGGCUUGCACAUUCUCAUAGAUGGAAAUAGGUAUAUAAGAACAGUCAGAAAGUUAUGUAGUGUGAUAAGUAUGUGGAGAUAAAAAUAAUCCAAGAAAGAGGAUACAGCAUGUUGAUUAACAAUAAAAUGGUAGUUACAAGAAUAGGUCUACUUUUCAUCUGUGUAUCAUUGUGGCUUCACAUACUUGAAUAUGUAUCUGUUCAUUACUUGUAAAUGUUUGUAACAGCCAUGAUGUCCUACAGUUUCAUACUAUAUACAAAAUAACUGUUUCUAUAUUGUGUAUAUAAUCAAUCAAAUUACUUAUUCAAGAUGAGCUAUAUGAAUGAAUUUUUCUUUGUAAAUUUCCACUGUGGACCUCAACUGGAGUCAAAUUAUAACAUCUUAGAACUUUUUUUUUUUUAUUGCCAUUAGUGAAAGCUGACUUUUGUUGACUCUACCAAGUGAAGAAUGUAAUUACUUUGUACCAGCCAACGUGUAUGCAUUCACUUUCAAGUGUACACCAAACUGCAUCCUACAUCUUGGUCCUCCACACCAGGUUUAGCUGAGGUUCUAGGGAAGGCGUUUUUGUUCAAAUCAGGAUAAUCUGCAGCAGGCCAGAACCAAGGUGCUGGAUAAGAUAGCAUUUGAUCACAUUGCACAUCCCUUUUACAAAGAUACUAGACUCCUCAGGACUUCCUAUUACUUCAAAUUCCUAGUAGGCUUCUUCCACAUUUUACAAAACUAGUUUAUCUCACCAAAGCUAAAAUAUUCUUCAAGUACAUGACAUUGUGAAAAUAUUUUCCAAUUCUGUCUGACGAGUCACUCUCAGCUCCACUUCCAAAUUCCAUUACCUUCUUACAGCUAAUACCACACCCAUGUUUCCUUUUCUUGUUUUUCCCCUAAAUGAUGAUAAGCUGGUGAAUGUUUAACAGCUGGCUCUCUAGGGUGAGAAGACCAGACUUAUAGUGUUUUCCAAUUUCCUUCGUAUAGCUACUCCUGCCAUGGCUGAUUUCAAACCAUCAGCCUGACGUCACUUAAAGCGGCAUUGGAAAACACACCCACAUUGGUUCUCAAGUGUCAUUUUGCACCAGCUCUAGUGCACCAUUGACAUAACAUACCUCAUUGCAUCCCACCGGGAGGUACACAGAAUUUGACCAGUGACAAAUUCCAUAUAACAGGUAGCUUUUAGGGUUUGUACCUGAGAAGACUGGGCGUAAGAUAUUUGGAUUGGGAAUCUAGUUUAUAAACCAGACCACUGCCAACCUUUUUUUAAUAUCAAUAAUAAUGAUCAUAAAUGAUAAUUUUAUACCUCAGAAGAAUUUUAGAUUUAUUUGAAUCAGAAAUUCCUGAUGUUUAAAUCCCCCCUACAUUCUUUCUUUUUUCUUUCUUUCUUUUUUUUUUUUUUUUUUUGUCUUUUUAGGACCACACCCACGGCACAUGGAGGUUCCCAGGCUAGGGGUCCAAUUGGAGUUGUAGCCGCCGUCCCACACCACAGUAACGCAGGAUCCAAGCCCCAUUUGCAACCUACAUCACAGCUCAAGGCAAUGCCGGAUGCUGGAUCCUUAACCCAUUGAGCAAGGCCAGGGAUUGAACCCGAGUCGUCAUAGAUGCUAGUCAGGUUCUCUAACUGUGAAGCCAUGAUGGGAACUCCUACAUUCUUAAUUGAUUAAAAAAAAAUUGUUUUUUUAUCAUUGAGAAGUAAAGAUCUUAUGAAAUUUUGUUUUUGGCAUCCUCACUCAAAAAUACUAGCCAGUUCACCAUCAGCUGGCCAGCACAUGAUUAACAUAUAAAGUAUUAUAAACAUAGCAAUAUUUAAUUAUAACAAUGUUGGGUUACUUUCACUGUUGAAGAAGGAACGUGUGCUUUUCUUGAAAACUCAAAAUGAGCCAUUUUGAAAUUUUAUACAAAAUCCCCAAUAGCAAGUGUUUUGACAAUUUUGGCAAACUGAGUUUAGAAAUAGCAACAUUUUAAACUUCCAAAAUAUUACACAAUACAUUAAGUUCCACUUCAUGCUUGUAAAUCACACAAACAAUUUUUUGUCACUGUGCGGAUAUGCAUGGCCUUCCACUUACAAUGUCUCUACUUGUCUGGGAGAGAGUGUCCAGUUGACAGUGGCCUUUGAACAAGUGCCCCUGAUAGUAGCAUGCAAAUACAAGCAAUGCAUGCAUACAAAAUUUUGCAUAUGCUCAGCUGGUGGUGAAGAAACUAUUCAGAAAGUAUUUGUUAAUAUUGCAGUUAGUAGAAAUACACGAGAUAUUUUCAUUUCAACUACUAAUUACUUGAACUAUGAUUGGAAAUAAAACAAUUUUUUUCAUUACAUUUUUAGAUGGACAUUAAUCCAUUUAAUAAUUUCCACUUACAUGUUUUACAAAAUUAUCUAAAAAUGGACAUUUUAUUUUCAUUUUAUUGACCUGUCAACCCUCAAAAAUGUAGAAGUAUUUCUCACAAACUAGCCAAAAAUUUCCAUCAAGCUCACUGGUUUAAAACUCUUCUUGGUCUUAUCUCAAAGGAGACUGAGCUUAAUAACAAUACUUUUCACUUUAGAGAUGUUUGCUACAGUGAUUCUAGAAUAAUAUACCUAUUUUACACAUGUAGCAAGCUUGUGAUGUGUAAUGAGUUAGAAGUGCAAUGCAGAUUGUUUUUAACUACAAAUCCAAAGCAUUUUAUCACACUUGUUGGAAAUAGCAUAUAUUUCAGAACUUAUUACUAGAGACUUCCCCAAAUUUUAUGAGUACAAUCUGAAAUUUCCUUUGAAUAUUUUCCUCCUUUUCCCUUCUUAGAGGCUGAUAUUUUGAAGCUUCAUCCGUCUUGCAUUGCACUUUUUCUUGUGUGAUUCUGGUAGAACUCUUACUUUGUUUUCCAUAUGUGUCUUAGUUACACUUGGCCUUUUUAUAUUUUCAUGGAAAUGACAGACUCAGUUUAUCAGAUUAUACACACACACUAGAAUUAGAAUGGGAGACGGAAAGGCAUGCUGGAGAAGGAGAAUAGGAAAAGAGAUCCACACCUACAGACAUGGGCUACUCUGCUAAGCUGAAUCAGGCAAAGGGAAUAAAAGCAAAAAUUAGAUGCCCUUUGUUCCUCUAAUAAUCCAACUCUUCUAUAGAUAAAAUUAUUUCCCUACAAGUAGCUAACUCCACUACUAUGCCUCCAAAGAUGGUGAUUCUAUUCCCCACUAUCUGGGGGGAUCGCUGAAAAAGAGAUUAACGUUAGAGUUAAUGGAAAGUCCAUGCUUAGCACCAUGAAGUUUCAAGGCUGUGUGGUAGAGGAAUGCAGUUGAAUAACACUGGCUGGAAAAAGGACUAAUACGCUUUGCUUUUUCAUUUUUCUGAUGAGACAUCAGACUCAGAAAUGACCAAAUUUCCAGAGAUUUCCAUUUCAGGGACUGUCAAUCAGGAGGAGAAUGGGAGAUCUAAAUGUGUGCAUGUCUGGACUCUAGGCCUGCUAAAAAUGUUCCAGCUACCAAACAGAGGGAGUGAAUGUUUUGUCAGCAUGCAACUGAGGGGUAAAUGAGGACAGCCAGGCUGGGUACACUCCACAGAGUUAACUCUGUAUGUUUACUUCUGCACCCCCACUCCACCCCACCCCAGUCAGCUCCAUCUCUCUUUCCAUUAUGCUUAAAUGUAUUCAUAUAUUGAAAUUUAAAUGUAACUUAUUUGUAUGUUUGUAUUUAGGUUUUUUUUUUAAUCUCUUUUUGAGAAAAGCUUGUUAAGGUUAGAGAUCAUCUCUUCUUAAAACUCAUGUGAUCUGAUGCACAGUAAUGUGAACCAUGAAAUAGGGCUAUGAUACAGAAAAAAAAAGUUAAUUUCCUCCACUCUUGGGAGAGGACAGGGUAUGGCAGACUAUGAUCUCCUCAAGAAUCUAGAGCUUUAGAUGUUUUAGUUUAGUACAAGUGAUAAGGAUCCAUUCAGUGUAGAAACUGAAUUAUAUGAGAUAAUUAUAUAAGACCCUGCCCCAAUAACAACAGAUAUUUGUUCCCCUCAAUAGGACAAAUAGGAAAAAAAGAAAUAGGGAGUUCCUAUUGUGGCUCAGCAGUAAUGAACCUGACUAGUAUCCAUGAGGAUGCAGGUUCAAUCCCUGGCCUUGCUCAGUGGGUUAAGGAUCCUGCAUUGCUAUGGCUGUGGUGUAGGCUGGCAACUGCAGCUCUGAUUCCACCCCUAGCCUGGGAACUUCCAUAUGCCACAGGUGCUGCCCUAAAAAACAAAUAAACAACAACAACAACAACAACAACAACAAAAACAGGAAAAGUGAAGAAACUUGCCUCUCCUGGUCUUAAUCUGUAUGAGAGUGGGAAUUCUUCCUUGAUAAUGUGUAACCUCAAGGGAGUCCUCAACCUAAGUUAGGGUCAGAAUUUAUAUUCUAUGUGGCUUAAAAUGCCCAACCUAAAAAUUUACAUCAAAGUGGUCCUAGGUUGUUGAUGUUCCCAUGUAGUGUUGAUAGAAGAAAAUGUAGAUAUUUUAAAUCCAGGUCUCAAAGACUUCUCACAGGUAAAUUUCAAAAAAAAAAA